GAUGAACGCUAGCGGCAGGCUUAAUACAUGCAAGUCGAGGGGCAGCAGGUCUGUAGCAAUACAGAUGCUGGCGACCGGCAAACGGGUGCGGAACACGUACGCAACUUACCCAUAACUGGGGGGAUAGCCCGGGGAAACCCGGAUUAAUACCCCCGUAUCCUUGUGGAGAGGCAUCUUUUCAUCAGGAAAGCUCCGGUGGUUAUGGAUGGGCGUGCGGCUGAUUAGGUAGUUGGNGUAGGUAACGGCUCACCAAGCCUGCGAUCAGUAACUGGUGUGAGAGCAUGAUCAGCCACACGGGCACUGAGACACGGGCCCGACUCCUACGGGAGCAGCAGUAAGGAAUAUUGGUCAAUGG
rnacentral:rRNA from 1 species